rnacentral:misc_RNA from 1 species
CGCACAUUGCGCCCUUUGGUAUUCCGAAGGGCAUGCCUGUUCGAGCGUCAUUAUCACCCCUCAAGCCUGGCUUGGUGUUGGAUGUUUGUCUACGUAACAAUAGACUCGUCCCAAAGACAAUGACGGCGUCUGUAGGACCCUCGAUACACUGAGCUUUAACCAGCACGUGUCGAGUCUAAGGUCUUAUAGGCCCGGUCACACCUAUAUUUUUUACAAGGUUGACCUCGGAUCAGGUAGGAAUACCCGCUGAACUUAA